AGAUCCCCAGCGCCCUGUGGGAAGCGGUGCCAACCUCGUGCUGAGGAUUCAGAAGGCUCCCUUGCCGAGCUGAAAAAACGGAGAUAAUCCACGAAGAUAAUGAAUAAAACCUCCACGAUGCAGUCAAAAUUGCUGCUUGGUGUAGUCUGCUCUAUAAACUGUGUGUCCGUCUUGGUUCUCCUGCCAGUUCUCUCUCUCUGCACAAUCUCACCUCUCUUCGCACAAAAGGUUCUCCUCCUCUGCAGCUCCUGCCACUGGAACAGCCUCCUUACAACCUGCCAUCUCACCCUCAUCUCACUCCAAACCUCGGCAGGAAACACCUCUCCCCUCUCUUGCUGCUGCCUCCGAACACCUUCCUACCUCCGUGAUCGCUCUGAAGCGAAGUGAUUCAAGCUACCCUCCAUAAAACAUGGUUCCAGCUGAGCAGGCAAAGACCUGUGUGCUCCUCUGGUGAAAGGAGCUGGACUAUGGACAGGUUCAAAGUACCGGGCAUCAGGAUGAGUCGUAGAUUCCAAGGCCAGAUGGGACCAUUGUGAUCAUCUCAUCUGACCUCCUGUAGAACAGAAGCCAGAGAAGCAGAUCUUUUAGAAAAACAUCCCAAACCAUGAUGCAACAGGAGAGCUCUCCAUUCCUGGCCUGAUCCUAGAAUCUGCCAUGCUAUUUCAGAAGUAUUCAGGCAGGAGACUUGGGCAGAUCGCAGCUCCAGUGGAACAGAAAGGACGUACCAGAGUGACAACCAUGCCUCCCAGUCUGGAGUUUCCUAGCUGCUUUGCGUCCACCAGCUCCCACGGCUCCCUGCUCAGCUCCUUUGGGAAUUUCGUGCCGGACUGACAGCAGCAUGACAUCCUCCGUCUAGCCACCGGGCUGGGCAACGGCACAGCAAGCGUCCUGGCCAACAUGUCCCCUG